CACGCACUUAAAUAACAGAGCAAGCAAAUUAUUUGAAAGUGUCUGACGAAACGGCUUAAAUCUGAAAUACAUAAUAUGUAUGUAUCCACAUACAUUGUGCAGUUUGUAGAUCAGCUUAAACAUGGAUGGAUCACAUCGACAUACGCAAACGCACUUCAAUAAAUCAUAAUUGAAUUAAAAGUGAAAGUGCAAGUAAAAGGAAACGAGCAGCAAAUAAAACAGU